GUUUUGGGGAAAGGAUAAUGAAUUUCUUUUUGGACCCAUCAAGUCUAAGACUGUAUGAUUUCAUGAGUCUAUGUCAUUGCUCUAUGGGCUCUCAUCUUUUUCCUUUUUAAAACCAAGGUAAUCAUCGCUGCUCUACCUGCCUCACUGGGAUGUUGUAAGGAUCAGAGGAGAUUAUUUUUGCUUCAAGUCGUCAAUGGAGCUGUGAUCUCACAGAUAUCUUUUUGGGCACUCCCUUCAGACAUACCAUGAGGAAUAAGGGUGGCCACUCCUACUCCAAGUAUCAGAGAGAAGAACACUGCAAGUUUGGAGAAGUUACCCUAGGAACAGAGAAGAACCUCAACAGAUAUAUAAGGGGAAUGACCUCUGCACUGGAAAUGGAAAUUGUAUGCAUCUAUCUUGAGAAGAAAAGGACAUCUGGAUGCUGA
ensembl:lncRNA